rnacentral:rRNA from 1 species
UACGGAGGGUGCGAGCGUUGUCCGGAAUCAUUGGGCGUAAAGGGCGCGUAGGUGGCCCGGUCAGUCUUUUGGUGAAAAGCGCGGGGGCUCAACCCCUGCGUCGGCCAGGGGAUACUGCCCGCGGCUCGAGCACUGUAGAGGCAGGCGGAAUUCCUGGUGUAGCGGUGAAAAUGCGCAGAUAUCAGGAGGAACACCGGUGGCGAAGGCGGAUCUCUGGGCCAUUACUGACGCUGAGGAGCGAAAAGCGUGGGGGAGCGAACAGG